CUUCAUAAGCUAAUUGAGGGCAUAUAAAAUGCACAUGGCAAUCUAUAGCUCCUGCAGUAACAAUCAUUCCUUCUCCAGCGAUAACCUCAGUAUUUACCUGAAAAGAACAGAACCCGAUUAAUACAUAAACCAGUAAGACCAAACUGACAUAUUCUGAAGUCGAGAACUUACUCCUAUAAUCAUGUCGGGUGACACGUCAUUCAUGAUAUCUGGGUUACCUGCUUUCCCAAUAGAAGUAAUAUAACCAUCUUUGAUGCCUAUAUCCGCCUUAUAUAUUCCUGUGUAAUCAAUUAUUACGGCAUUUGUUAUUACAGUUUCCAAACAAUCACUUAAUUGAUAUCCAGAGGCCUGCCCCAUUCCGUCUCUCAG
rnacentral:sRNA from 1 species